rnacentral:rRNA from 1 species
CGGCGGAGCAUGCGGAUUAAUUCGAUGCAACGCGAAGAACCUUACCAAGGCUUGACAUACACCGGUAACGCCCAGAGAUGGGUGCCCCUUUGUGGUCGGUGUACAGGUGGUGCAUGGUUGUCGUCAGCUCGUGUCGUGAGAUGUUGGGUUAAGUCCCGCAACGAGCGCAACCCUCGUCCUAUGUUGCCAGCGGGUCAUGCCGGGGACUCAUGGGAGACUGCCGGGGUCAACUCGGAGGAAGGUGGGGAUGACGUCAAAUCAUCAUGCCCCUUAUGUCUUGGGCUUCACGCAUGCUACAAUGGCCGGUACAAAGGGCUGCGAUACCGCGAGGUGGAGCGAAUCCCAGAAAGCCGGUCUCAGUUCGGAUUGGGGUCUGCAACUCGACCCCAUGAAGUCGGAGUCGCUAGUAAUCGCAGAUCAGCAACGCUGCGGUGAAUACGUUCCCGGGCCUU